GUGAAUCAUCGAAUUUUUGAACGCAAAUUGCACUCUCUUCGGAGAGUAUGCCUGUUUGAGGGUCAGCGUAAUAAAAAUCGACAUGGUUGCUGUGGUGUAGUGGUGACUUUCGUCGGGGGUUGGGUUAUCUUAAACCUGUUUUUUUUUUUUUUUUAUAGCGUAGUAAACUUUUUCUUCGCUAUUGGUAAUAGGU
rnacentral:misc_RNA from 1 species